GAGCAAUGAAGUUCUGAUUUACCUCAAGCGGUUCUUUCCUGAUGAAGAUCACAAUCUGCUAGAGGACACAUAGUAGUAACUAGAAGACACAGAUGUAUCUUUUGGAACCAGAAAGUUGUGAAAACAGCAGUUCUUCUGCAACUGAGACCUCCUAACAACAUAUUUUAAUAACUACUUAUACAAUUGAGAUCGCCACCCUCGCAUCUCCACGAUCAGCCUGCUUUGUUGUCUAAUCCUGAAUUUAUGACUUUGCUCUGGUUUUC